rnacentral:tRNA from 1 species
ACUUAUAUAGUUUAAUAAAACAUUACAUUUUCAAUGUAAAAAUAAAAAAAUUUUUUUUAUAAGUA